rnacentral:misc_RNA from 1 species
GAUGAAGAACGUAGUGAAAUGCGAUACUUGGUGUGAAUUGCAGAAUCCCGUGAACCAUCGAGUUUUUGAACGCAAGUUGCGCCCGAAGCCUUUUGGCCGAGGGCACGUCUGCCUGGGCGUCACGCAUCGCGUCGCCCCCCACAAUUCUCCGUAAAGGGAACGUGUGUUUUGGGGGCGGAUAUUGGUCUCCCGUGCUCAUGGCGUGGUUGGCCGAAAUAGGAGUCCUUUCGAUGGACGCACGAACUAGUGGUGGUCGUAAAAACCCUCGUCUUUUGUUUCGUGCUGUUGCUCGCAAGGUAAACUCUUUAAAAACCCCAAUGUGUCGUCUCUUGACGACGCUUCGACCGCGACCCCAGGUCAGGCGGGACUACCCGCUGAGUUUAAGCAUAUCAAUAAGCGGAGGA